rnacentral:rRNA from 1 species
UACGUAGGGACCAAGCGUUGUUCGGAUUUACUGGGCGUAAAGGGCGCGUAGGCGGCUUGCCAAGUCACUUGUGAAAUCUCUGGGCUUAACCCAGAACGGCCAAGUGAAACUGGCAUGCUAGAGUGCAGAAGGGGCAAUCGGAAUUCUUGGUGUAGCGGUGAAAUGCGUAGAUAUCAAGAGGAACACCUGAGGUGAAGACGGGUUGCUGGGCUGACACUGACGCUGAUGUGCGAAAGCUAGGGGAGCGAACGGG